UACGGGGGGAGCAAGCGUUGUUCGGAUUUACUGGGCGUAAAGGGCGCGUAGGCGGCCUCUGCAAGUCGACUGUGAAAUCUCCGGGCUUAACCCGGAACGGUCAGCUGAUACUGCAGGGCUAGAGUGCAGAAGGGGCAACUGGAAUUCUCGGUGUAGCGGUGAAAUGCGUAGAUAUCGAGAGGAACACCUGCGGCGAAGGCGGGUUGCUGGGCUGACACUGACGCUGAGGCGCGAAAGCCAGGGGAGCGAACGGG
rnacentral:rRNA from 1 species